UGCGAAGGGGGCUAGCGUUGCUCGGAAUCACUGGGCGUAAAGGGUGCGUAGGCGGGUCUUUAAGUCAGGGGUGAAAUCCUGGAGCUCAACUCCAGAACUGCCUUUGAUACUGAAGAUCUUGAGUUCGGGAGAGGUGAGUGGAACUGCGAGUGUAGAGGUGAAAUUCGUAGAUAUUCGCAAGAACACCAGUGGCGAAGGCGGCUCACUGGCCCGAUACUGACGCUGAGGCACGAAAGCGUGGGGAGCAAACAGG
rnacentral:rRNA from 1 species